AUUGAACGCUGGCGGCAGGCCUAACACAUGCAAGUCGAACGAGUGGCGGACGGGUGAGUAAUGUUUGGGAAACUGCCUGAUGGCGGGGGAUAACUACUGGAAACUGUAGCUAAUACCGCAUACCAUCGGAUGAGCCCAGAUGGGAUUAGUUAGUUGGUGGGGUAAAGGCUCACCAAGCCGACGAUCCCUAGCUGGUCUGAGAGGAUGACCAGCCACACGGGAACUGAGACACGGCCCAGACUCCUACGGGAGGCAGCAGGGGGGAAUAUUGCACAAUGGGGGCAACCCUGAUGCAGCCAUGCCGCGUGUAUGAAGAAGGCCUUCGGGUUGUAAAGUACUUUCGGCGGGGAGGCGUUACCCACAGAAGAAGCACCGGCUAACUCCGUGCCAGCAGCCGCGGUAAUUC
rnacentral:rRNA from 1 species